rnacentral:rRNA from 1 species
CCUACGGGCGGCAGCAGUGGGGAAUAUUGCACAAUGGGCGCAAGCCUGAUGCAGCCAUGCCGCGUGUGUGAAGAAGGCCUUCGGGUUGUAAAGCACUUUCAGCGGGGAGGAAGGCGGUGAGGUUAAUAACCUCAUCGAUUGACGUUACCCGCAGAAGAAGCACCGGCUAACUCCGUGCCAGCAGCCGCGGUAAUACGGAGGGUGCAAGCGUUAAUCGGAAUUACUGGGCGUAAAGCGCACGCAGGCGGUCUGUCAAGUCGGAUGUGAAGUCCCCGGGCUCAACCUGGGAACUGCAUUCGAAACUGGCAGGCUAGAGUCUUGUAGAGGGGGGUAGAAUUCCAGGUGUAGCGGUGAAAUGCGUAGAGAUCUGGAGGAAUACCGGUGGCGAAGGCGGCCCCCUGGACAAAGACUGACGCUCAGGUGCGAAAGCGUGGGGAGCAAACAGGAUUAGAUACCCUUGUAGUC